UGCCCUAUAGCCAAGCGGUAAGGCAGUGGACUCUGACUCCAUCAUCGUUAGUUCGAAUCUAACUAGGGCAGCCA
rnacentral:tRNA from 1 species